rnacentral:rRNA from 1 species
AUUGAACGCUGGCGGCAUGCUUUACACAUGCAAGUCGAACGGUAACAGGCCGCAAGGUGCUGACGAGUGGCGAACGGGUGAGUAAUGCAUCGGAACGUGCCCAGUCGUAGGUGAUAACUACUCGAAAGAGUAGCUAAUAACGCAUACGAUCUAUGGAUGAAAGCGGGGGACCGUAAGGCCUCGCGCGAUUGGAGGGGGGGAUGUCAGAUUAGGUAGUUGGUGGGGUAAAGGCGCACCAAGCCAACGAUCUGUAGCUGGUCUGAGAGGACGACCAGCCACACUGGGAGUGAGACACGGCCCAGACUCCUACGGGAGGCAGCAGUGGGGAAUUUUGGACAAUGGGCGCAAGCCUGAUCCAGCAAUGCCGCGUGAAGGAAGAAGGCCUUCGGGUUGUAAACUGCUUUUGUACGGAACGAAACGGCUCUGGUUAAUACCCGGGGCUAAUGACGGUACCGGAAGAAUAAGCACCGGCUAACUACGUG